GUGAAAAAUAUAUUUUGGCAGAGACAGGCAUUAUAAUGACUACAUGAAAAUUACACUUUUCAUGUAGUCAUUAUAAUGCCUGUCUCUGCCAAAAUUUCUCGUAAAAUUUA